AGUGAACGCUGGCGGUAGGCCUAACACAUGCAAGUCGAACGGCAGCACAGUAAGAGCUUGCUCUUACGGGUGGCGAGUGGCGGACGGGUGAGGAAUACAUCGGAAUCUACUUUUUCGUGGGGGAUAACGUAGGGAAACUUACGCUAAUACCGCAUACGACCUACGGGUGAAAGCAGGGGAUCUUCGGACCUUGCGCGAUUGAAUGAGCCGAUGUCGGAUUAGCUAGUUGGCGGGGUAAAGGCCCACCAAGGCGACGUUCCGUAGCUGGUCUGAGAGGAUGAUCCGCCACACUGGAACUGAGACACGGUCCAGACUCCUACGGGAGGCAGCAGUGGGGAAUAUUGGACAAUGGGCGCAAGCCUGAUCCAGCCAUACCGCGUGGGUGAAGAAGGCCUUCGGGUUGUAAAGCCCUUUUGUUGGGAAAGAAAAGCAGCAGGUUAAUACCCCGCUGUUCUGACGGUACCCAAAGAAUAAGCACCGGCUAACUUCGUG
rnacentral:rRNA from 1 species